CGGUGGCGGUAGGCAGUCGCUUCGUUGUUGAAACGGGGAGGAAAGUCCGGACUGCACAGGACAGGGAGUCCUUUUGAAAAGAAGGAUACCGCGGACUAUACGCCGCGGGAAGGAAAGCGCAACAGAAAGUAUACCGCCGUCCGGUAACGGGCGGUAAGGGUGAAAUGGCGGGGUAAGAACCCGCCGGGCGUUGGCGAGAGCCGCGUCGCAUGGCAAGCCCCUCCCGCAGCAAGGCCAAAUAGGAAACGAGUUGUAGUCCGCAACGUUUGAGUUUCGGGUUCUGGCCGCUUAGACAGAUGAUUGCCGCUGUACCUUCUGGUAUGGCACAGAAUCCGGCUUAUUCCGUCGCCGCUUU
rnacentral:RNase_P_RNA from 1 species